rnacentral:rRNA from 1 species
CCUACGGGUGGCAGCAGUGAGGAAUAUUGGUCAAUGGACGAGAGUCUGAACCAGCCAAGUAGCGUGAAGGAUGCCUGCCCUAUGGGUUGUAAACUUCUUUUAUAUGGGAGUAAAAUGUUCCACGUGUGGGAUUUUGUAUGUACACUAUGAAUAAGGAUCGGCUAACUCCGUGCCAGCAGCCGCGGUAAUACGGGGGAUCCGAGAGUUAUCCGGAUUUAUUGGGUUUAAAGGGAGCGUAGGUGGAUUGUUAAGUAAGUUGUGAACGUUUGCGGCUCAACCGUAAAAUUGCAGUUGAAACUGGAAGUCUUGAGUACAGGAGAGGUGGGCGGAAUUCGUGGUGUAGCGGUGAAAUGCUUAGAUAGCACGAAGAACUCCGAUUGCGAAGGCAGGUGACUGGACUGCAACUGACGCUGAAGCACGAAAGCGUGGGUAUCGAACAGGAUUAGAUACCCUUGUAGUC